rnacentral:lncRNA from 1 species
GACUGAGGGGCUAGCCCUCGGAGCUCAGUUGAGCACUGUCCUUGGGCUCCCACGCGCCCACGCGCUGUCCUCGGCUCCGCCUUGUACGGCGGCCGGAAGCUAAAAAAGCUUCGCAUUUCGAAGCAAAUCAAGAGGUGAGGUUUCUCCCCUUAUUUUAGUUGUGCUUGAGUAUUUAAAGAAGAUAAAAUAUCACCUUUUUUGCUUCUCGUAAAACUACCUGAUAGUUUUAUUUAUUUUUGUCUUUGUAGCAAAAAUCCCCUCCUCUAUUACAUUGUUUGAUUUGGGCUUUUAUAGCCUCUUUUACAAAUAAUUACAUUUUCGGGGAAAGAAAUCUUUGAUUUCUUUCCAUAUUCGUUUUACUAUUGAUGUGUUUCUUUCUAUAUUUGUUCGUUGUCUGUUGUAAUUUCUUUCCUUUGUUUGCAGGUGAGCACAAGGAAUCUAGUGAUGACAAAGGCCUGUCGAUGGUCUAACGGAGGCGCCAAUCUCGGCAUGACUCAGAGCCUGGAAUUGUGGCUUUGAUGGAGGUAGCUGGAACGGCAGAAACCGAAGGGUUGUGAGGCUUGACUUCUGGAACCCUCUGUUUGGGGCGCGACAAGAAAGGCAGAAACCCUAGGGUUUCAUGCCUUGGUGUAACCAGCUGGGCCAGUUGGGCCACUUUUUUCCUGGGCUAAGUGGGGUGUAAUGGGUAGAGGUGUUUUGGGCUUUGUAAAAAAACUUUUUAUGGACUGUUUAAAUAAAAUAAAUAAAUAUUUAUUUAUUUAUCCAUUAAUUUUUAGUUUUAAUAGUC